rnacentral:rRNA from 1 species
GAAUUCGCCCUUAGAGUUUGAUCCUGGCUCAGGAUGAACGCUGCCAGAAUGCUUAACACGUGCAAGUCGAUUCGAUUUACCUUCGGGUAUUGAGGAUGGCGGACGGGUGAGUAACGCGUAAGGAACUUGCCUCUUGGACUGGGACAACUGUUGGAAACGACAGCUAAUACCGGAUAUUAUGAGAUUCUCGCAUGAGAAACUUAUGAAAGCUAUAUGCGCCAAGAGAGAGCCUUGCGUUCCAUUAGCUAGUUGGUGGGGUAAUGGCCCACCAAGGCGACGAUGGAUAGCCGGCCUGAGAGGGUGAACGGCCACAAGGGGACUGAGACACGGCCCUUACUCCUACGGGAGGCAGCAGUGGGGAAUAUUGGACAAUGGGCCACAAGCCUGAUCCAGCAAUUCUGUGUGCACGAUGAAGGUCUUCGGAUUGUAAAGUGCUUUCAGUUGGGAAGAAGAAAGUGACGGUACCAACAGAAGAAGCGACGGCUAAAUACGUGCCAGCAGCCGCGGUAAUACGUAUGUCGCAAGCGUUAUCCGGAUUUAUUGGGCGUAAAGCGCGUCUAGGCGGAAAAAUAAGUCUGAUGUUAAAAUGCGGGGCUCAACUCCGUAUUGCGUUGGAAACUGUUUUUCUAGAGUACUGGAGAGGUGGGCGGAACUACAAGUGUAGAGGUGAAAUUCGUAGAUAUUUGUAGGAAUGCCGAUGGAGAAGUCAGCUCACUGGACAGAUACUGACGCUGAAGCGCGAAAGCGUGGGGAGCAAACAGGAUUACAUACCCUGGUAGUCCACGCCGU